GACGAACGCUGGCGGCGUGCUUAACACAUGCAAGUCGAACGGAAAGGCCCUGCUUUUGUGGGGUGCUCGAGUGGCGAACGGGUGAGUAACACGUGAGUAACCUGCCCUUGACUUUGGGAUAACUUCAGGAAACUGGGGCUAAUACCGGAUAGGUGCUCCUGCUGCAUGGUGGGGUUUGGAAAGUUUCGGCGGUUGGGGAUGGACUCGCGGCUUAUCAGCUUGUUGGUGGGGUAGUGGCUUACCAAGGCUUUGACGGGUAGCCGGCCUGAGAGGGUGACCGGCCACAUUGGGACUGAGAUACGGACCAGACUCCUACGGGAGGCAGCAGUGGGGAAUAUUGCACAAUGGGCGGAAGCCUGAUGCAGCAACGCCGCGUGCGGGAUGAAGGCCUUCGGGUUGUAAACCGCUUUCGCCUGUGACGAAGCGUGAGUGACGGUAAUGGGUAAAGAAGCACCGGCUAACUACGUG
rnacentral:rRNA from 1 species